ensembl:lncRNA
GGGAGUUUUCAUGUUCUGAUGCUAAUUUCUUCAGAUUUUGUAACAACAUGCUGUUUUAAAAACAUAACUUGUCUAUAAAAACAAAAACAAAAACCACAGUCUUCAGUGUAAAGUCACACCCACUCCUUUCUCAAUCAAUCUUUGGUAACUUUUGUAGCAACACUGCUCUUACAUUUUACCAUACUUACAAUCAAACACAAUGUGUUUCUCCAUCAGAGAGCCUCCUUGCAGAGAACGUGUAUGCUUCUGUUUUCAGUCUCUGUGUAUUUUCCCCAAACUUACUUGGACAGAGCAUGUAGUUGUGCAGGCCUGUGAUUAUGUGUGAUUGCAAAAGCUGACCUGUCAUGAUUAUUCACUCACUUAAUGUUAGCCUGCUGCAGUUACAAAAUGUGAUUUAACUUAGGCAUCUCCCGUGGAGUCUACAGCACUGUAUUUCAUGCUGAGGUGGAACAUUUAUAAACCCUUGGACACAGGGAGCAGGGGUUCCUGAUAGCACAGCUCGUAGCGCAGUCCUUGGUGAGGAACGUGGCUGUGCACCUCACCUUACUGACUCAGCUGCUGCCAUCAUUUGAGGAACGUCGAGAAACAUUCUUCUGAAAUGACGUGUGAAAAGGUCUGCCCCAAAGCCUCCUGUAAGAGGAGGAGGACCCAGGAAUAACUCACCAAAAGCAGCCGACAACAAGCAGCAGCAGGCUUUAAGCACAGUUAUCGCCGCAUCGCCCGACCUACCGCCCAGCUGAGACAAGGCUCAGGGCAGGCUACCCUUUCCUUCGGGAAGUUUCCCUGCGCGGCGAUGCUUCCCGCCGGUGCGCGCGAUGCUGAGCGCGAGCGGUGCUCUCGAGCUUCCUUCCCAACCGGCCGCGCGGGCCGGAGCUCGCUCUCAGAGCUAAUGAUUCUAGAAUGCCCAUACAAUAAAGCUUUUUUGCAGCUUAAAAGAAGGUUGGAAGAAAAUUCUACAUGGUCUUCCUCCUGUUUUGAACUUUGAC